CCUACGGGAGGCAGCAGUGGGGAAUAUUGGGCAAUGGGCGCAAGCCUGACCCAGCAACGCCGCGUGAAGGAAGAAGGCUUUCGGGUUGUAAACUUCUUUUCUCAGGGACGAAGCAAGUGACGGUCCCUGAGGAAUACGCCACGGCUCACUACGUGCCAGCAUCCGCGGUAAUAAGUAGGUGGCACGCGUUAGCCGUAUUUACUGGGUGUAUAGGGCGUGUAGGCGGGGACGCAAGUCAGAUGUGAAAACCACGGGCUCAACCUGUGGCCUGCAUUUGAAACUGUGUGUCUUGAGUACUGGAGAGGCAGACGGAAGUACUGGGGUAGCGGUGAAAUGCGUAGAUAUUAGGGGGAACACCAGUGGCGAAGGCGGUCUGCUGGACAGCAACUGACGCUGAGGCGCGAAAGCGUGGGGAGCAAACAGGAUUAGAUACCCCGGUAGUC
rnacentral:rRNA from 1 species